CACUUCUCAAUUAGUCCCUUGAUUUGCUCACUUAGCUUCAUCUUUGUUGUGAGUACCCAACUUCAAGGCACCCUCACUUCUCCCCUGGAUCCUGGAUCAUCAAGAGCAGCCCACUGUUGGUCUCUGGGCUCCCAUGAGUCUCCAUGGAGACUUGCCCAUCCAGUCUCCACACGCACAUCUUACUAAAAUGGAAAUCCGAUCAUGUCACUCUCUGCUUACAACCCCCUAAGGACAAACACCUUGAGAAAGUAUAAAGAUGCUUCAUUAUCUGAAAAUCUGCUUGUAUCUCUAGCCUUAUCUCUUGUAAUUCUGUUCCCACACACGCUGUGUAAUUAAGAAAUGCUAAAUGCUCUUGCAGUUUCCAGAAUGCACCACAUUCUCUUACCUCUGGUACUUUGCACAUGCUUCUGAUUGUACCAACUGAAUGCGCUGCCCUCACUCAUUUUUACCAGAGUCUCUCUCUGUCUCUGUCUCUGUGUCUCUGAAAUCUCAGUUUAGCUGUUACUUCUGGGAAGCCCUCCUGGACCCUCCAAACCUGAGAGAGGUGUUCCUCCUCAGGCUACCAAAAUGUCCAUCCACCUUUUGUGAUGUCACCUAUCACUCUGAAUCAUAAUUUGCUGGUGCCUCAUCAUUCUCUUUCAACUGGCUGUCUCUGAUCAGGCCUCCCAUGGUUUCAAGGUCCCCAUGGCUCCCACACUCUAGCUAUGAUCGUGCCCUCAGGUGGAGCUCUGUGGUUGUACGGACCACAACUACAGGUUGGCACCACUGCCACUAGGCCUUCUCUACAGAGGACUCUGGGGGAGUGGAUCCUAGCUGGCCCUGAGAGUGGCCUGCCUCUGGAGGGUGCUUCCUCUUUCCCUAGCUCCACCUGCAUGCUCACCAUGUGGGCACCCUGACACCCUCUUCCCAGCACAUCUCGUUCUUCUUUGGCCACCUUUGAUGCUUCCUCCUCAAUCCCCACCAACGCUCUCUGGGGCCAGCUCUGCCUUCUGGGCAGAGGGGUCCUUGCCCUUCUCUGCCAUCUGGUCUAUUUUCAGAGGGCAAGUGCUUUUCCUUUGCAUGAAUCAAAAAAAGGAACCCCCAUUGGAGCAAAUCAGCCUUUCAGGCUGUGUUUUAGCCUCAUUCUUCCUCCUGGAAUUCAUAAACUACACAAACAUAUGCCUUCUUGUCUAAUAUGUUGGGAUUAACAUCCCUGUUUUAUAAUUGAACAACUCAAGGUUCAGAGAAGAUAAAAUGAGGCUGGAAUGUCACCUCAGGGAUGUAGGAUCUCUGGACUCUGGCCUCAAAAGGCAGGUGCUUCCUAGCCAGCUCCCUGGUCUCCUCCCUCCAGCACUUGGUCCUAAUCCCAGCUGGUUGCUGGCUACCUACAGUGUUCUCUGUGCCUCUUCCAAAGGGUAAGCAUAUGUCCUAGCUGGAGGAUUGCAGAAGGGCUCCUGCUGUGGUACCUAACCAGGCAGGGCCCCUCUCUCAUCUGGGGAUGGAAAACUGUUCUCAAUUCAUCCUCAGGUUAGUGGCACCUUUUCCCAGUGUAGACAAAGCUAGUCCCUGCUAAGCAGACCAGCCUGCCCAACCCCAAUUCCUAUGGAUACCCCCUCUGCCUGACAACUCAGCCCUUGUUGCUAUUUCUUGCUUAUGCAUCGUCAGCAGGACCCAAAAUAGUGGUUCCAGAAGUCAAUCUCUAAAUCAACAUCCAGGCCUAUGUGUGUGAGCAGCCUGUCUCCACUAGCUGGGCUACAGUGCCCAGAAUCUAGGACAGAGCCACACCCUGGGGCUUGAGUUUCAGUAGGUCACCUUCUCGGAGCUCUGAGGUUCGGGCUCAGAAUCUGGGGCUGUAGGGAGAAGAGAGAGGAAAGCCCUGAGAAGGCACAGGGUAGGAAGGCUUUGGCCAAAGGUCCCCCAGAGCAUCUGAGGAAACCGAGGUUGAGCUUGAGACUGGCAUCCCCAUCAGGAAGACUUCCUGCCUGCCAUGCUUGCCCUGGGAAGUCUGUGAUGAUGUGUCUGCUCCCCUUCUUCUCUAGAGUGGUCUCACGAAAGAAGUGGGGAUGGUGUUAAGAGCACGACUUUGGAGCCAGACUACCUGGAUUCAAAUCUUACCUCUGCCCUUUACCUGAGGUGUGUGACCUCAGUUAAUUUCCCUGUAACUCAGUUUCCUCAUCUGUAACAUGAGAGUAAUGGUAGCCCAACAUAGAGGAUUUUUUUUUUCAACAUAGAGGAUUGAUGUAAUGAUUACAUGGGCAAUAGAAGAGGGGCUUUGUGCAACAUGUGGAAUGCUCCCCAAAAUGAGGACUGUGAUUAUUAUCACAGGACAUAGUACGUGGGCCCCUGACAUCCUCUGCCGCACAGAGCCCCAUCUUGGACUAAAAGGUGGCUGUGCUCUGAGUGUUGAACAAAUGAUUAAAAAUUAUCUGACCUAAAUGCAACAUAGCAUUUUGGAUUAGAUUCUGCAACAGAAGAAGGAUGUUAAGUAGAAAAACUGGCGCAAUCUGAAAAAAGUUUGUGGGUUAGUCAAUAAUGUGACACUAAUUUUAAUUUCUUUGAUAAAUAAACCAUGGUUAUGUAAGAGACUGAUGUUAGAGGAAGCAGGGUGGUGGGUAUACAAGAAAUGUCUCUAUUAUCUUUAUAACUCUGUAAAUGUAAAAUUAUUUCAAAAUAAAGGGUUAAAAAAACUUGCUGACAAUUAAGGGCUGCUUUGUAUAUGCCAAGGGCUAUGUUAAGUGCUUUAGACACACCAUUUCCCCCCCAGUUUUAUUUCUUUAGAAAAAAACACAAAUUAAACAUAGCAAAAUG
rnacentral:lncRNA from 1 species